rnacentral:lncRNA from 1 species
GCAACAACCAGCUCUGUGGCCAACCUAUCUUAGAACCCUGCGUCGGUGACACAGGAUCACCAGAUGUUCCCUAUUACGAUGAAGGUAAUUCAGAUUUAGAUGAAGAGCAUGUAUGGUUUUAUGCUGGGAUAGGACCUGGUCUCUUGGUUGGUUUUUUGGGCUUCUGCGCAUGUUUGCAUUACAUCAAGUCUUGGAGGUAUUCUUACUUUCACUUGAUUGAUCGAGUCUUCGACAAGAUAGUGGUUGCCUUUGCUUUAUGGAAGAGAAAGUUCCAAAACUAACAGGUGAAGUCUUAAUUGAUUUAGCAUCCAUAACUCUAUGAGUUUCUAAUAUUGGUAAAACCAGUAGGAUAUAUGCUAAUCUAUUGGUAUAUUUUCUUCAGUGGAUUCCUGUACUGCAAUGGACGAGGUGGACGCUGUGAAGUUCUUGAUAUCUGUUGAAAAAAUAUAAUUUCUUGUAAAUUAUUUGUAUACUUUCAUGUCCCUGUAUUCUGUUUCUAAUAUCACCUAAAAGACAAGAUGAUAUAAUUUAUAUGGGUUGUAUAUCCCAUCCUGUUGCAUAUUCGUAAUUCUUUUUAUCUGGUGAUGAUUAGUUGUGCAAUGUUGUUUGGAGAAGUUUCAGGAUAGCAAGUGGUUUUUGUACUCACUGGAGACAGAAGGAGCCGCUGCAAGCAAUACUGGUAUGUCAAAAAUUACAUAACUUAAUUGAUGUAAUCCUACCUUUAAGUUUUAGCAUGUUAUACAGAAUUCUAUCUGCCCCUUCCUCAAGCUCGUAAAAAUUUAGUAAAUGACACUGUAAGAAAGGGUGAGCUUGACGCCACCUUCAGACUUAAUUAUUUUUUGCAAGUAACGUUGCUGACAUCAAGUAUAGUCAAGGUGUGGGAAAUUGCCAGGGCCACAUUAUCCGCAAUCAAUAUUCUUGGUUCCCUGUUCUGUGCUUUUUUUUUUUUUAGAUCUUAUUGUAAUUAUUGUGUUCGUUGAAGAUUAUGUAGACCGCGUAAAGGUUUUAGACUACACGCCCCAUCCUAAAUAAUUAAGUGGCUCUUGCUUCUUUCCUGGAAGCAAGAUACUGAAACUGGUGAUUUCAAAGCAUACAUCUCUUGUAACUUAUGCAGUAACAUCUCCUGAAUGAUUUCUAUAUUUAAUGAUAUACAUCUGAUUUACCUGGACAAAAUCUAUAUGGAUAAUCUACACGCGAGUGUUGCAGCUUUGAAAAAGCUUCCAGAGGCCGGAGGCAAUUAUCUGUCAAACAAUCUUCUCUCAAGGGUUUCAGAUGGUGCACACUUCAAUCAUUUUAUAGCAAGUUUGGAUAUAUCGUGUUGCAGGCUUUCUAAAUUAGUAGCAAAUUUUUUCUUUUAUGUCAUGUAUUGUUUUUGGCGGUUGAGAAACAGAAAUACAUUUCGUUGGACGUUGGUACCACUUCCUUAAGCAACAUAUCUUCGGCUUAGAACAUAAAUAUGGUAUGCAAAAUUUUAUAUUUGUUUCAGUUUUAUAAAGAUUAGUGACAUUUCUAAUGCGGAAGUCAAUUGUUAUCGUGUAUUAGUUCCUUUAAGAAGAUAUGUUAUAUUUUCUUUUUAACACUGAGCAGCUUCUAUGAGGAAGGACCAUACGAGUAGAGUUUUCCCAGCGAUCUGUCAACAAAACACGUUUUGAAGCAUUUCCACUCAGCGAUAAUGCACUGGCACACUAUCAAUCUAUUUUAAAGUCCAGCCUUGCUGUAAUGACUAUGUCAGGAUAAUGUGUGAAAUGUAAUUAAUUUUUAUUCAGUUAUAGUCAAGUUCACAGUGACAAAUGCGGGUCGUAUGCUCAAGAACACAAAUGCAAUUAAUUUUUAUUCAGUUAUAGUCAAGUUAUAGCUAGUUCAUAAAAGUUUCCGUUUCUCCUAAACCUAAUUCUAAUCUUAUAGUAUUCAACAAUUAUAAAAUCUGGUCCUAUCUUUAAUAAUAAAAGUGUUUUAAUAUUUUUAAAUCAAUACCCAAAUUCUGUCUCCUCUUUGCACCUCUGUUUACGGACUUUUUUGGUUAGUCUUUGCUUCCUAGAACAUUUCUGAAUUAAAGAAAAUUUCAAAAGUUUUGAUUGGACUGUAAAAUCUUCCAAAUCCGACAUCUAGAAUUCAAGAUAUGGCCCAAACAAUGUUUAAAUCCGAAUUUUCAUAGAAAUUGCCUCCAAAAUAGCUAUUUUUCUUUAAAUCUUUCUCAACUUGGAAUUAUUUAUUUCCUACAAUAAAAUAUAUUAAAUAAAUAUCUAAAUUAAUACAAAAUACAAUUAAAUACGAGAAUAAAAUCAUAUAAAACAUAUAUAAAAAUAUCGUCAGUUACAAGAUCGAUAUGCACAGAAAAUGGAGUCUUCUGUCGUGGCGAUUUUAAUGAACAUAAACAUCAAUGAAACACCCCCUUCUCGUCGUGUCAUAAAAUACAAAAUAAAUAUAGCAAUAACAAAUUUAUUGUUUAAGCAUAAUUAUCUCUGACUAUCUAAACUUGCAAAUUAAUCCUCAGAAUCUUUUUUUAAAACAUAUAAAAAAUAAAAUGAAAACAAAAAAAAUUAAGAAUUACAUGUUCAUCCGUGCUUCGCACGGGUUGAAGACUAGUAUAAAAAAUAAAGUGAAAACGAAAAAAUGAAUUUGAAGUGUAAAACUAUUAUGCAAACUUUACAGAUACAUUGUUUAGUUGAAGUUAGACAUAGACUGAUUUAAUAGUGAUUGGACGUGUUAUAUACACCACGUACUUACCGACAACGUAAUUAUACUCAUAUUCACUUUGCUGGUCCCCGUAGACUUUUAGACAAGAAAAUGAAAGAGGUGUUGGUGACUUGGUGCCGGUGAAGACUGACUCGGAGUCUCUAUUUUUAGCCUGAUGAAACUUUUCCAACUUGUUCAUUACUUCUAUCCAUUUACCUGCACUAGAAUUUGGUCUCUUGUGCAUAGUUGUAGGCUUGUGGAAUGGAAGCUGUAGUGUUCCUCCAAAUUUUAGCUCAUGUUUGUUUACCAGAGGUUGCUUCUCGACUUCUGAUUUUCUUAACCCGUUUGUGUAAAAAAGUGGAAGUACUUUUAAGAAGUUCAGAAUGCUAGCUUCUAUCUCAGGGCUUCUGUUGGAAUAAUCUUAAAUUUAGUUAUUAUUAUUAUUAUUUGUUUAGUUAUUUAUUUUUUAGGAUUAAUUAUAGAUUGUAGUAGUUGGAUGAUUGUUGGAGUUAUAGAGAGUUUGUAGGAGGUAUUGAGUCUAUCUUAUUUUAGGAGAUUUAUUAGAAGUAGCAGAGUAUUGUUAGGAGUCAAGUUCAUUUGUUAUAAAUAUGGAUGUAAUCUCUUUUUUAGAGGAACAAGAAUUAAUAAGAAUUAGUUUUAUAUUCUACACUUGGCAUCAGAGCGAGCUUUUGUUGUUCCGUCGCAGGCGGUGGUGAAGCCACCGCUUGUGGUGGUGGAGGCGCGGAAUAAGUGUUUGACGAGGUAGUUUCAGGUUGGCGUUGCGGAAGGAUGGUGGCAAAGCUACAUGUGUAGUAUGGGAUGCAUGUGUAGUAUGGGGCUGCCGAGAAAGACGAGGCGAUGCCGGAGAAGCCUGUUGAAGGCAGAAAAUGAGAUAGAGUGCCAUGCAGAACGUGGUGGAUCUUGCGUUUUUUUUCGGAGUAGAGGGAGAACCUCUCCUCUAGAAUUAUGGGUGAUUAUGUGCACCUGGAGAGAACACUAGAAUUAUGGGUGAUUAUGUGCACCUGGAGAGAAGUGCUCCGGUGAUUUUGGCGUUGAUGAGAAGUACAUCAACAAAUUGGUGUCAAUGAGAAGUGCAUCACAAAUGAAGAGAAGUGCUUCAUAAAUUCUCUUAAGUAAAUUUAAGAUUAUGGGGGUGAUUGUUGGAAUAAUCUUAAAUUUAGUUAUUAUUAUUAUUAUUUGUUUAGUUAUUUAUUUUGAGGAUUAAUUAUAGAUUGUAGUAGUUGGAUGAUUGUUGGAGUUAUAGAGAGUUUGUAGGAGGUAUUGAGUCUAUCUUAAUUUAGGAGAUUUAUUAGAAGUAGCAGAGUAUUGUUAGGAGUCAAGUUCAUUUGUUAUAAAUAUGGAUGUAAUCUCUUUUUUAGAGGAACAAGAAUUAAUAAGAAUCAGUUUUAUAUUCUACAGCUUCUACUUCUUUUCCAAACACUUUAUAAAUUUAUUUACUUCUCACUUCUAAUUCACUUCUUUAUUUUAAGGAAGAAGUCACUUUUUUUAAAUUUGCCCAAACGACCCAUUAACGGUAUCGUGACAUAUUUUGAACAAUGGAAUCGACUCUGGCCAGCUUGAAUUGAUGUACAUGAACGAGGGAAGAAAAUUUGUGUAUACCAGUCCCCACAAGAUACAUAAUAUUUUAGUGGUUUGAGGCAUAUUUACUUAUUCAACAGAAAUACAUUUUCACAGUAUGUCAAGCUAGUUGUUGGGAGACCCAAGACUAUUCAUUUCUUCACUGAGUGUUCCUAUCAUUGAAACUAAUUCAAUCACAGUCUUCCGCAGAGUAGUUGCAGGGAAUUUUCCUGGAUGACCCUUUUUCUUGUUUUGUUUUUCCAAUUCCACAUUUGUAAUUAGAGAAAGUGCUAUCUUCAUGAGUUUUCCUAUCAAUCACGAAAGUAAUGAUGAGUCUGGAAUAACUCGUUAAGACUUGGGACCACAAGAAAAUUACACACGGAAUUAAAAACAUAAUGAGUGUCACUGCCAUGUAUUCUUCAUCAACGAAGUCUUAAUCUCCUCUUAUCCAGAACUCUGUCUCCUCCUAAAUAAGUGGCUCCUAAUUUCUGCAUUAUGAUGAUUUAGACAUGAUUGUGUUGAGUAAGUUCAACCCAAGUCCCACAUCGGAAAGAUGAAGAAGAUUUAUCUUGAAUAUAAGCAGCCAAAGAACUUCGUUAGUAUGAGGUCUUUUGGGAGGAGCCCAAAAACAAAUCCGUGCGGGCUUGGCCACGGCCCAGAGCAGACAAUAUCAUACUAAUACGGAGUUAACGGGUGUUGCGCGGCCCAACAAGUUCCGAAGUUGAUCCUUGGGGUUGCGGGCUGCAGUGGUGUGAUGUGGGGGAGGCUGGCUCUCCAGAACUGUGAUUGGAAGUCUUGGACGGCUUGUGUCAAAAGUCUUUCUGACUAAUAUGGUCGGACGGCGUGUCCCGCAAGAUGGAACCGAUGAGUAGCGGCGGUAUAAGGGUCACAAGAUUGGUGGUUCUUGGAUUGAGGGGAGAUUGUUGAGUGAGAUUUAUCUUGAAUAUAAGCAGUCAAAAAACUCCAUAUCAUACUAAUGCGGAGUUAACGGGUGUUGCGCGGCCCAACAGAUUCUUAUCCAAGUCCCACAUCGGAAUCCAUAUCAGACUAAUGCGGAGUUAACGGGUGUUGCGCGGCCCAACAGAUUCUUAUCCAAGUCCCACAUCGGAAAGCCAUAUCAUACUAAUGCGGAGUUAACGGGUGUUGCGCGGCCCAACAGAUUCUUAUCCAAGUCCCACAUCGGAAUCCAUAUCAUACUAAUGCGGAGUUAACGGGUGUUGCGCGGCCCAACAGAUUCUUAUCCAAGUCCCACAUCGGAAAGAUAAAGAAGAUUUAUCUUGAAUAUAAGCAGCCAAAGAACUCCAUUAGUAUGAGGCCUUUUGGGAGGAGCCCAAAAACAAAUCCGUGCGGGCUUGGCCACAGCCCAGAGCGGACAAUAUCAUACUAAUGCGGAGUUAACGGAUGUUGCGCGGCCCAACAGAUUCUUAUAAGAAUGUUUACCGAGGACUGGACUGGGUUGGGGGGUUGUUGAAGGGGGCACUCAAAAGUUUUGGACAUAACUUCGUGCCUUUCUUUUGUAUGUGUUAGAGAAAAGCAUGUAGAGGUGCAAACUUUAACAUUUUAAUGGCAAUCACAGAUAUGUAACUUGCAUUCUUUCUCCAUAAAUAGCAUACUCAUUCUGGUAUGUCAUAAUUUCGUUUUGGUCUCCCGAGGCAUGGAUGCAUGCAAAGUUUUGUGUUUGUUGUUAUUCCUUUUUGUUGUGUUUGGUUCGGGAGAAUGGAAUGAAAUGACUAACAAUAAAUGAAAAUAGUAAGAGGUAUGAGGAAAGUUUUGAAAAAAAAAAUAGUGAGUGCAAAACUGUUAUGAUGAGAUUUGAGAAGAAAAUGAGUAUAAAAAGGAAUAGAACAUUCCUUCUAAAAUUGGAGGUAUGAUCUCUAGCAUAAAGUGUAAGGAAUGGAAUGGAGGAAAGAAUGAAAUUUAAAACCAUUUGUCCAUAACCUAAUGAAAAUUUCAUUCCGUUCAUUCCAUAUUCAUUCACCCUAACAAACAUAACAAAGGUGUGAUCUCUAGCAUAAAGUGUAAGAACGUGCUAGAAAGGCGAGUCUGCAGUGCAGAACUAAUGCUGUGCUUUCUGAGCAAGUACUACAGAGUUUUGUGAAAUCGAGGCCAGAGGUAGUUGAAAUUUUGAGUGGGAGGCAAGUAUCUAAUAUUUCAAGUGCUAGUUCUGGACAAACCUAUUCAUUAGUAUCUAAUCUAUAUCUUGUAAGAUAGUAAUCAGUUACAUUAAUCUAGCAGAUGAUUACACACCAUUUUGCUGCCUUCACAUAAAAAAAGAGCGACUAAUGUUUGUUAUUUUUAGUUUCCACACAAUGAAAUUCGAUGAUGUCCCAUAAAAUUUUUCUGUCAAUACAGAAUUUGGAGCAUUCCCAGUCCACAAUGGUGCUCAUAUGCAGACAGCUAUGAUGAAAUCUUGAGAUAUUUGAAACAAUGGAAUCUACUCUGGACAGCUUGAUAUCGAUGUACAUGAAUGGAGAGAGAAAAUCACAGUUCCACAAGCUAUAUUGAUAAUAUUUUAGUGAUUUGAGCCAAAUUUACUUAUUCAAUCAAAAUUUGAAGAGACAAGCAUUAUUACCGGUGUUACACAUACUAUCCAUUUAAAAAGUUUGUUACCCUUUAUUAAUGAGAGAAACCACAUUUUGGUGGAACAUCGGUACUAAAAGUACCAAACUUUGGUCACAUUCAUAUUGAUUAAAAUUUUAUAGUCAUUAUUAUACUAUUAUCAAAGACUUCUAUAUUUAAUAGAAUUUUAUUAUUAAAGACCUCAAUAUUCAUUAGAACAGUGAAAGACUUCUAUAUUGAUUAGAAUUUUAUGAAAAGACUUUUAUAUUAAUUCGGAUUUUAUUAUUAAAAAUUUCAAUAUUGGUUAAUAUUAUUAUAAAACUAUAAAAAGACUUCUAUGUUGCUUAGGAUUUUGUAAUAUAACAUUAUUCUAUCCGCACAGUUAAAUCGCUAACAAUUUAACUUAUGAAACAGUUUUAUAAAAUUCUUAUCAAAAUUUGGAAAUCAUCAUAUUAUUUUUUUAUUUAAUAGUUAUUACUAUUAUCAAAAAACUUCUAUAUUUGACAAGAUUUUGUAUUGUAACAAUUAUCUCACUAAUAAAAAUAUAUUAUCAACAAAAUUAUUUGUUUUAAUUUUUUAAAACUCAAAUAAUUUAAUAUACGGAACAACUUUAUAAAUCUUUUAGCAUGCUUCAGAGUUCAAAUAAAUAAAGAGUUCAUAUUGAUAUUAAUAUAAGAUCCUAUCAAUAGAAUAAUAAUGUCAAUGAAAUUAUUCGUUUUAAUUUUUAAAAAUAAGACAAUUUAAUUUACGAAAUAAAUUUGUAAAAUUUCUAUCAUAUUUCAGAAUUAAAAUAAACAAGAUUCAAUAUUGAUACUAAAGUAACAAAAAACUUGGUCAUAUAUUUUUUUAAUAAUAAUAAUUAUUAUCAUUCAGUGUUUUUCAGAAGAUUGCAAUAAAGAUGUAAGGCGGUGGUAACACUGACUUAACAAAUAGAAACUCAAUGAAAAUGAAGUCAUUGUCCAUAAUACAACAUAUAAUAAAAGAACCGAAACUCUAGACAUACAUCAAAUAUUCGUUUUAAUUUUUAAAACUCAUAUAAUUUAAUUUACGAAACAAAUCUGUAAAAUUUCUAUCAUAUUUCAGAAUUAAAAUAAAUAAGAUUCAAUAUUGAUACCAGAGUACCAAAAAAUUUGGUCGUAUAUUUUUUAAUGAUAAUAAUUAUUAUUAUUCAGUGUUUUUCAGAAGAUUGCGAUAAAGACGAAUAAGACCGUGGUAACGCUAACUUGACAAAUAGAAACUCAAAAAAAUUGAAGUCAUUGUCCAUAUUACAACAUAUAAUAAAAGAAUCGAAACUCUAGACAUACGUCAAAAUAUUUGAUAUCAAAUUACUUUUGAAAAGUUAAUUAAUAUGUCAAACUACAAUAUUAGUUUAUCAAACAACUACAACAACCGUUGGAUUAAAAAAAACUCCAACUAGAAUUAUAUAAUGUUGCCUAUUAAAUGAAUAAAAAAACUGUGACUUAAAAUUUUGAAUUUUUGUUCAAGAUUAAAGACGCUAUAAACGAACUUAUAUGUGUUGAUUUUGAAUAUUAUUUUCACAAUUAAAAAUCAUCAAACAACAUAGUAAUUUUACCAAAAUAAAGCAUACUGUUAGAGUUAAGUUCCAUAAAGUCUGCAUUUAAACCGCAGUAAGUACCGGACAUAAUCUUUUAGUUUAAUCAUAAAUAAUAUCUUUAAUUAUUCAAAUUUAUAUAUAAUUUACCAUCUUUACGUAAUUUUACAUAUAUAAUUAUCAAUUUUGGAUUCCAAUACACUUAUUUUGUGGACUCCAUAGAACAGGGACCCAUAUCGUUAUGUAAUAAAUUUAAAGUCGGAUCAAAUUUUAAUAUAUAGAAAGUCUUAUAUUAAAUAACAAUAAUUUAAAUAUGUAUAAUAAAAGUAUGAUAAUAUAAUUAAAAAUAAUAAUAUUCUUCCAAUAAAUAACAAAUUUUAAAAUUUUAUUUAAACCCGUGCUUGGCAAGGGUUAUCAACUAGUAUUUUAUAAAGCUCAUUAGUUACUCUUAAUCUUCAGUUUCAAAAUGAUAAUGCUUUUCAACAUUACUCAUACUUAAAACUUAAAUUUGGUUAUAAAAAGUGAUAUUUUAUAGACAAUAUAAUAUAGAUUUAUGAUCCACGUAACAACAUAAGUAUUUUAUAAGAAUAUUUGAUUUAAAUGUGGGAGAAACGGUUUAUUUAUAAAAAACAUGUUGAUAUUUUAAUUAUUAAAUUAUCAUAAAUGUAACAUACACAUAUUUGCUUAUAAAUUAGAUUAGAUUGAUUAGAUAGAUUUAAAUUGACUCUUUAUUAUAGUUCUAAAACAUAACUCAAAUUUUGAACUAUUUCAUUGUUCGUAAACAUGAUAAAAUACAUCAUAAAUAUAAGUAGAGAAACGUGACUGAAAAAAUUUAGACGCAAUACGAUAUUUGAAUAAUCGAAAUCUCAACUAUAAUUUAAGAAUAUAAUUUGAUACUACAACUAAUAUUUUACUAUUAAAACCAAACCUUGAAUAUAAAAAUAUAUUAUUGUAACAAACAUAAUAUAUUUAUGUGUACGGUGCUUGUUCAGAGCUAGAUAGUUCAUAAUUACGAAUAGGCAGAAAUUUUCAGCACAUACCCAACAUACUAAAAUAAGUUGGUGGAUUAAUAUAGUUCAAUUUUCAAAUUUACGGCUACUUUACUAUAAAAGAUUGUCGGAAUGUAUUAUAUUAAUGUUAUUUUAAUUGAUUAUUGACACCAAUAUUAAUAGAUAAUUUUGAAUGAAAAAAAAAGAGAAAGGUUAAAAACAUUUAAUAAUGGUGAUGAUUAAAUGUUAUUUUAUCAACAUAUUUUAGAUGUUCACAUCAAUCCGUGCAAUAUGCUACAUUUGACUACUACUUAAUUUUUAAUAUUUUUAAGUUAGUUAUUGUGUGGAUUGUUUUCAUAUGUACCUGUCAUGCUAAACUCAAUUACAUUAUUUUUAAUUUUGCAUAUUCGGGAAAAAAUUGAUUCGAUCAUAGACUCGAGAAAUUUAAAAUUGAAUAAUUCAAAAAUAUUUAAAUUUGAAUUUUAUAAAUCCGGUUCCAACCUGACUCGUUGGCAUCUCUAUAUUAACAUAGGGGAUAAUUGAGAAAUGUAAAAGAAAAAGAAUAAGUGAAUGAGAACUUGAACUCUUCUUUUCCUUUAUGGGUACUCAGCAACAGUGGGCUGGCACAUCUUUAUCUUCUUGAUAACCAUUUCCAUGGAUCAAUUCCUGAUUCUUUAGGAACUUUAACUUCUCUUGUAGAAAUCGAUCUCUCUGUAAACAGUUUUAGUGGUUUGAUUCCGGAGUCGAUUGGAAGAUUGGUUUCUCUUUCUUCACUUGAUCUAUCAAUUAAUGUAUUUCAAGGUCUUCUUCCAGAGUAUGGGAAGGUUGUCAUCUCUUACGGAUCUUGAUGUUUCUGAUAAUAAUUUCCAAGGCUUGAUCCCUCAUUCUAUUAGCAAUCUCGCGAAACUUACCGUCCUCUAUAUGUCAUCAAAUGAAUUAAGGGGUGAUCUACCAGAAGAGGUUUGCCAACUGUCAAACUUAGAAUACAUGUCUCUGGGUGAUAAUCAAAUGAGUGGAAGCAUUCAUGGGAGGGUUUUGUAACAGAUCACUUUGUUAACCUCACGAAGCUCUUUGACUUGUCUAUUUAUUCAAAGUCUAACCUGGCGUUAGAUGUUAGUACUCAUUGGGUCCCUCCAUUUCAGCUCAAAUAUAUAUACUUUAAAUCCUUGAAAGCGGGUCCAAAAUUUCCCCACUGGCUCUUAACACAAAGACAUAUUUUUCAAAUUUGGAUGAAAAAUAUGAGUAUAUCAGAUACCAUCCCAGCAGAUUGGUUUGCAAGUCUCUUAUUUUUGGGAGUGAAUUCCUGUGCUGCAGUGGAGGAGGAGGACGCUGUGAAGUUCUGGUUACCUGUUUAAAAAAUAUUAUUUCUAGUAAAUUUUGUGUGUACUUUCAUGUCCCUAUGCUCUGUUUCUAAUUGAUAUCACCAGAAAGACAAGAUGAUAUAAUCGAUAAGGGGUUGUAUAUCCCAUUUUGUUGCAUACAUAUUCGCUGUUGAUAUUAAGUGAUUCUUGCUACCUGUUGAUGACUACUUGUGCAAUGUUGUUUGGAGAAGGUUCGGAAAAGCAAGUGUUUUUUGUAUAUAUCCGAGUUAUCAUCUUUUACACCUAAUGUGUUUGAUGCUGCCUUCAGCAGUUAAAUUGUUUUGUGUGUACAUCAACUUGUCAAGGUGUGUGUAUUAGAUAGCAUAAACAAGUAGUCCUUAUUUGUAUGAUACCAAAACACUUAAAUAGAUAUACAUUAGCUUGUAGAUAAUUAUCAUUAGUUGUAAUUUCUACUUAUCAUGUUGUUGAUUUAUUCUUAUCAUGUAAUCUCUAUCUUUCUAUAAAUAGUGAAAAUCAAAGCCAUCUCAGCAAGUUGCUUGAGAUACAAAGCAUAUGAUAUUUUACAUGGUAUCAGGCUAGCCAGGUUUUAUUCAUAUUUUUCCAUGGCUCCCGAAAUUCCUGUUGUCAUUCCUACUUCCGAUGUCAUCACUUCCGCUGAUACUACAACGAGUAUUGAAAUUCUGGUCAAUCUUCCGGAUCAAUCUAAAACAAAUAAUCCUUAUUUUAUCCAUCAUUCUGAUAGUCCAACAGCUGUGUUCUUUACACCAGCUUUGCAAGGGGAUAACUAUGCAUCUUGGGCGUGUGGAAUCUCAAAGGCCCUUAAUGCCAAGGGAAAGCUUGGAUUUAUCGACGGAACAUUGCUUCCACCUUCUGAUCCUGCAGAAAGGGCUUGCUGGAAACGCUGCGAUGAUCUUGUCGGCAGCUGGAUACUCAAUUCUGUUCAUGACAGCAUUCGUCGUAGCUGCAUGUUUUCUGAUUCAGCAUUUGCAAUCUGGAAUGAUCUCAAAUUAAGGUUUUCUCAUUCCAAUGCACCUAAAAUAUAUCAACUUAAAUCUGCUAUUUCAGCCCUCAAACAAGAGAAUCUAGAUGUGAUUUCUUAUUUUACUCGUCUUAAAACUCUCUGGGAUGAACUCGACUUCAUCGUACCAACUGAGCCUUGUAUUUGUGGGGCAAGCAAAGUGUUUAUGGAGAAACAUGACAGAGACAGGGCAAUGGAAUUUUUACAAGGCCUCAAUGAUCGAUUUGCUUCUCUCCGUAGUCGGGUUUUAUUGAUGGAUCCUUUACCAUCAGUUCAACGUAUUUUUUUAAUUUGGUCAAACAAGAGGAAGCACAACAAAUUAUCAUCUCAACUUUCACUGCAUCUGGUUCUGUUGAGUCUGCAGCUCUUCAAGUACAACGUUCUGAUUCUCGUAACUUUCGUCCUGCAAACAAACGAGUUCGGCCCUUUUGCGAUCAUUGUAACAAGCAUGGUCAUACUCGGCAGACUUGUUAUCAGCUUCAUGGCUACCCGGCAAAGCGUGCUGACACACCAUCUUCUCAGCCGCAAGUUGCCGCUGUUACCUCUACACCAAGUCCAGGUCCCUCGCUUACACAAGAUCAGUAUGCACGGCUCCUUGCUCUUAUCACACCACCAGCUGACACUGGCGAUGACACACCAAGAGUUAACCUAACUGGUAAUUUUUUUUCAACUAACUCUUGGUUCAUAGACAACGGUGCAACACAUCAUAUAUGUUGUUCACUAAAUUUAUUUUCUUCUUACAAACCUAUAUCUAAUCAAAUUGAAGUUCAAAUGCCAGAUGGUUCUUAUGCUUCAGUUAAGCAUAUUGGUGAUGUAAUCCUCUCACCACAUUUGCUUCUCAAGAAUGUUUAUCAUAUUCCUCUUUUUAAAUUCAAUUUAAUCUCCAUAUGUCAGUUGACAAAAUCUCUGAAUUGUGUUGCUAAAUUUGGUAAUGAUUGGUGUGAAUUUCAGGACCAACACACGAACUCGGUGAUUGGUAGAGGUUAUCGUCAAGGUGGUCUAUAUCAACUUAGUCUUCCUUCCCAAGUUUGUUUUAUCAAUAAAUUGCCUGCAGAUGUUUGGCAUUGCCGUUUAGGCCACCCUAGCUUAGACAAUUUUAAAUAUUUAUGUCAGUCUGUUGACUAUAUUAGUUCUAGAUUUUCUUUUCACUGCGAUCUAUGCCCACGGGCUAAACAAACGCGAUUAUCAUUUAAUAAAAGUUUGAUUUCUUCUCAACAUUGUUUUCAAUUACUUCAUUGUGAUAUAUGGGGGCCAUUUUCUACCCCUAGUUCAAAUGGUUCUCGUUAUUUUUUACCAUAGUUGAUGAUUAUUCUCGUUGCACAUGGUUGUUUUUGAUGAAAAUAAAAGAUGAAACUUUAAAAUAUUUCCAAUUUUUUAAUAAUUUUGUGAUUACUCAAUAUGGUAAACAAGUCCAUGCAAUUUCAACAGGCAACAAUUUGUCAAUGCUUCCCAAGUUGCAAAAGAUUCAAACUGAUAAUGGGAGUGAAUUUUUAUCCAACUCUUUUCAAAAAUUUCUCAAAUCACUCGGUAUUCAUCAUCAAAGAAGCUGUGUCUCCACACCUCAACAAAAUGGGGUUGUUGAAAGAAAACAUCGACAUCUCCUAAAUGUCGCUCGAGCUCUAUUAUUUCAUUCAAGUGUACCAAUUUCAUAUUGGGGUGAGUGUGUCCUCACAGCAGCAUACUUAAUUAAUAAAAUGCCAACACCGGUAUUACAAAAUAAGACUCCCCAUGAAUUAAUUAUUGGGUCAAAGCCAAGUUACAAACAUCUCAAAAUUUUUGGCUGCCUUUGUUAUGCAACUAACCCUUCUCCGAAAGGAAAAUUUGAUUCCAGAGCUCGUGUCGGGGUGUUUUUAGGAUAUCCUUUCAAUCACAAAGGAUAUAUAAUUCUUGAUUUAGAGUCCAAAUCAAUUUUUGUCUCUAGAGACGUGAUUUUUCAUGAAGACAAAUUUCCAUUUCAUAAAGAGUACUCUUGUCAGAUAGAUGAUUAUUUUUCUUCCCCUGAUCCUCCAACAUAUUUUCAUGAUGAAAAUGAAAUUGAUGAUAUCAAUCCUUUUUCUCAACAUGCUAAUUCUGGAAGCAUGCCAAUAAUACAUGAUCAAACUCAUCAUGUUUUGCAAAAUGAACAUGAUACAUCUCAUUCUUCUUCACCAAUAAGACAUGAUGAAUUUCCUACUAUGUCUCUUUCUAAUCAAACUUUAUAUCUGUGGAUGAUGAAGGUCACAAUAAUUCAAAUCAGUCAACUCGUCCAGUGAGAACAUGCGGUCGUCCAAAAUAUUUGGAAGACUAUGAUUGCUCUGGUAAGGCUUGCCUCGCAACUUAUCCUCAUCCUCUCACUUCAUCAUUUUCAUUCGAUAAAUUCACUUCUUCUCACAAAGCCUUUCUCACAUCAGUUAUUACUAAUGAUGAACCUCGUACUUUCACCGAGGCUAUGAAACAUUCUCAUUGGCGUGAAGCCAUGGCUAAGGAAAUUAAAGCCUUAGAAUCAAACAAUACUUGGGACAUUGUGUCUUUACCUAAAGGCAAAUCAGUUGUCAGUUGUAAGUGGGUUUACAAAAAUAAAUUUAAUCCAGAUGGCUCCAUUGAACGACGAAAAGCUCGUCUUGUACGUCGCUAAAGGGUAUACCCAACAGGAGGGCAUUGACUAUCAUGCUACUUUUGCCCCUGUUGCAAAGUUAGUCACUGUCCGUACUCUACUAUCUAUUGCUGCCGUCCGCGAUUGGCGCUUACACCAAUUAGAUGUUAAUAAUGCAUUCCUUCAUGGUGAUCUUGAGGAAGAAAUUUACAUGCGUAUCCCACCAGGUUUUUCAAAACACGGUGAACAAAAAGUGUGUAAAUUAAAGAAAACAAUAUAUGGCUUACGCCAAGCAUCACGGCGAUGGUUUUCCAAAUUUUCUUCUGCCCUUAUUGAAGAAGGGUUCACACAGUCACGAGCAGACUACUCAUUAUUUACUUUUCACGCUAAUACACUUUCUAUCUUCGUAUUAGUGUACGUUGAUGACAUCAUUAUCACUGGUAAUGAUGAAAAUUUUAUUUCUUCACUGAUAACAAGAUUGGAAGCUCGUUUUUCACUCAAAAAUUUGGGAAAACUUACAUAGUUUCUUGGCAUUGAAGUUUCCAGAUCCUCUUCAGGUAUAUUUUUAUGUCAAAGAAAAUAUAUCCUCGACAUUCUGAAAGACUCCGGUUUGACAGGAGCAAUAACGUCACCUUUUCCAAUGGAUCAACAUCGCAAGAUCCUUCCUUCUGAUGGUGAUCCAUUACCAGAUCCUAGUAUUUUUCGUCGACUCAUUGGUAGAUUGCUAUAUCUUACUGUCACUCGUCCUGACAUAACAUAUUCUGUUAACUACCUUAGUCAGUUCAUGCAACAUCCAAGAACAACUCAUCUUGAUGCUGCUUUUUGUAUCCUUAGAUAUCUAAAGGGUACACGCAAUCAUGGCAUUUUUUUGUCUUCCGCAAGUUCUUUAACCUUACAAGGUUAUACAGACUCUGAUUGGGCAGGCUGUUCUACUACUGGCUACUUUACAGUGAUAGGUUCAAGUCCUAUUUCUUGGAAAUCGAAGAAACAACCUACAGUUGCUUGUUCAUCUGCUGAGGCUGAGUACAGAGCCCUUGCAAAAUGUACUGCUGAAAUCCAAUGGCUUCAUUACCUGCUUCGUGAUCUAGAUUGUCCACAACAAGGUCCUAUUAAGAUUUAUUGUGAUAAUAAAGCAGCUAUUCAUAUUGCCGAAAAUCCAGUUUUUCAUGAACGUACAAAACACAUUGAGCUAGAUUGCUAUUUUGUUUGUGAAAAGUUAUUAUCAGGCCUCAUCUCUCCCACACACAUUUCAUCAUCUGAUCAACUAGCCGAUAUUUUUACAAAGCCAUUGGGAGCUGAUCAAUUUCGUCGUUUGGUUUCCAAGUUGGGAGUUCGCUCUGAAGUUCCUCCCUCUCCAACUUGAGGGGGGGUAUUAGAUAGCAUAAACAAGUCCUUAUUUGUAUGAUACCAAAACACUUAGAUAGAUAUACAUUAGCUUGUAGAUAAUUAUCAUUAGUUGUAAUUUCUUCUUAUCAUGUUGUUGAUUUAUUCUUAUCAUGUAAUCUCUAUAUUUCUAUAAAUAGUGAAAAUCAAAGCCAUCUCAGCAAGUUGCUUGAGAUACAAAGCAUAUGAUAUUUUACAGUGUGGGAUUGUAAGGUCUCCAUUGUGCACAAUCAUUACUCUGGGUUCCCUGUUCCGUGUUAAUUUAUUUUAGGUCUUUUGUAACUACUAUUUCGUUGUAGAUUAUCUACCUCCCUCUCACUCAAAACAUACACAAUGAAACUCUUAUUGAUAUCACCUAAAAGACAAGGUGAUAUAAGGGUUAUAUAUCCCCUUUUGUUGCAUACGAAUUGCUGUUGACAUUUCGUUAUUCUUUUUACCUGUUGAUGAUUACUUAUCUAUUGUUGUUUGGAGAAAUUUCGGAAAAGCAAUUGUUUUUUGUACUCAGCAGUCAGAAGGAGCCGCUGCCAGCAAUAUUGGUCUGUCAAAAAUUACAUAAUUGAAUUGAUGUUAUCCUACUUUUAAGUUUUAUCAUUUUUUUCAGAACUCAAUCUGCUCCAUUUCAGCACUUAAAUUUUUUGCGAGUAAUAUUACUGUCAUCAUCAACUAGAGUAGAGGUGUGUGGGAUUGUCAGGGCUCCAUCAUCCGCAAUCCUUUUUCUGGGUUUCCUGUUCUGUGCUAAUUUUUUUAGUUCUUUUUGUAAGUACUUUUUUCGUGGUAGAUUAUGCAGGCCGCAGAAAGGUUUAAGGCCAUACGCACCAUUCUAAAGAAGCAGCUCGUGCUGGUUGCCUAGAAGAAAGAAAAUAAAACAUGAUUCUCAGCAAAUACUGGCGAUUUCUACUAAAGUAGCAGGGGUCCGGGGAAGGUAAAACGUAAACUGCAUAAUUUAUUCAAGAAAACUACUUUUAUCACGUAAGGUGGGAUAACUAGCUCCAUUACAUUCUGUAGUUGCAUAUCCUCAACUAAUUAUAUAUUUAAUGCCAUACAUUUGACUGAUUUAAGAUGUGACUGUUGAUGUUACCUUUGCACGUAGGGACUAAGGAGCGUGGUUUCCUCCCAACAGUUUUCACCCUCUUUUUUUUACUCGCACUAGUUGUUCAACAUUACUCCUCAAUUCAGCACCACUUGAGUUGUCUGGAAUGUGCACCAACUGAGUUUUCAACUUCGUGAAAACUAAGCACACAUGCAUAGACAUACACUCGUACAAAUUUCAAAGAUUUAGGUCGAAAAAACUAACCUUUGUAACCAGGGCACUCCAUAUUUGUGCAUCUCGUUACGGGGAUGCAUGAACCACUCCAUUAUCUUCACUUUAGGUUUUCGAUUUACAAAUUCUCAUAGCUUUCUCAGUGAACUUAGGUUUGUAUGGGGGUUAGGGCUUUCAGUUAAAUGGAAGUAAGGGACACGAAUUUUCGCGGGCUUUAGGGUUUGAUUUUCCUCAUAUACCCUUCUUUCUAUUUUAGUUUUCGGAGUUAACGGAGUUAUACUAACGGUGCUUGAUGGGCACCACCUUUUUAAAAGGUGGAAGUAUAUAAACUCCAACCAUUGUUUUGAAGUUUUAAAGUUCCAGCCAACAUUUUGGAAAUUUUGAAAAACUACGACCACCACUCUGUCAUUUACUCUUAAUUUAAUACUAAACUGUCUUUUACAAAGUAGUUGCCGAGCAGUUUCCUGGAUGGCCUUUUUUCCUAUCUUGUUUUUCCGAUUCCACUUUAGGAAUUAGAAAAAUAUGAUUCAUUAAAUCACUAAAGUGAUGAAGACUUUGGAAUAACACUUUAAGGACUUGGAAUACACGCGGAAUCAAAACAUAAUGAGUGCCACUGCCAACUAUUCUUCAUCAACAGAAGAUCUGAAAAAGAAAACGAUGGGAGUGCUGGACUACUGACUUGGAACCUAGUGUCAAACUUUUUACGACUUCCAUUCAAACUUAUAAAUAGUCAUACAUAAGAAGCUCACAAGGCAUUUUAUUCCACAGAUUUAUCACUUUCUAAAUAUUGCAAUGCAGAAACAUAUGACCUUCCUCGUUCUUGUUUAUGCAUUAUUAGCUGCUCUGUCAAGUUUACAGUUUGGUCGUGGGGGCACAGUUGAAGACUAUCCUAAUACAAGUUGUAGUGAGAGUGAGAAGCUAGCUUUGCUUCACCUGAAACAAAGUCUCAUUGAUGACUUCAAUUACUUGUCAUCCUGGAUCGGAGAUGAUUGUUGCACAUGGCAGGGAAUUGGUUGCAACAAUAGAACCGGCCAUGUCACUCGUCUUGAUCUUCGAAAUGGUAUGUUAAGAGCUGAUCAUUUAUAUCCUUCCUUGCUUGAUUUGAAAUAUUUGACCUACCUCGACUUGAGUAACAACAGUUUCCACGAGAUGAAAAUUCCCCAAUUCCUUGGGUCAUUCAAGGAUCUUACAUACUUAAACCUCUCGUACUGUAAAAUUGAAGGUUUCGUUCCCCAUCAUCUUGGAAACCUUUCUAAAUUACUCUACCUUGAUUUAAGUCAUAAUACAUAUUAUCAUGGUAAUGGUGGUGAUUAUUACUAUUAUUAUGAUUUACCUUCUUUAUUACACAUUGAUAGCAUGAGAUGGUUAUCUGGGCUUUCCAUGUUGAAACAUUUGGACCUCUCCAAUGUUAAUCUUUCUGGGACCAGUGACUGGUUUUCGUCCAUUAAUAUGCUUCCGAAUUCAAUUUUAGUACUUAAUCUGUUGAGUUGUCACUUAUCCAACAAUAUCCCACGCCAUCUUCCCUUUAUAAACUUGACAUCUCUCAUUUCACUUGAUCUUGAAGAGAACAGCUUAAACUCUCCUUUUCCUUUAUGGGUUCUCAACAACAGUGGGCUUGCACAUCUUUCUCUUGAACGCAACCAUUUCCAUGGAUCAAUUCCUGAUUCUUUAGGAACUUUAACUUCUCUAGUGGAAAUCGAUCUCUCUGAAAACGGUUUUAAUGGUUCGAUUCCAGAGUCGAUUGGAAGUUUGCUUUCUCUUUCUUCACUUGAUCUUUCAUCUCAUGAAUUUCAAGGUCGUCUUCCAGAGUCUAUGGGAAGGUUGUCACCUCUCACUCAUCUUUUGCUAGGUGGGAAUAAGUUUACUGGUUUCGUCCCUCAUUUUAUUAGCAAUCUCACGAACCUUACACACCUUGAUAUGUCAUCAAAUGAAUUAAAUGGUUCGAUUCCACAUGAGAUUGGCAAUCUCACAGAGCUUACAGACCUCUCUAUGUCAUUAAAUGAAUUAAGGGGUGAUCUAACAGAAGAAGUUUGCCAACUGUCAAAGUUAGAAAUAUUGGAUGUGGGUUAUAAUCAAAUGAGAGGAAGCAUUCCUGAAUGCAUUGGACAACUAUCAAAUCUGAUGGAGUUGGAUCUUAGUUCUAAUUCAUGGGAGGGUUUUGUAACAGAGCAUCACUUUGUUAACCUCACGAAGCUCUUUUUCUUAAGUAUAUCUUCAAAGUCUAACUUAGCGUUAAAUGUUGGUAUUAAUUGGGUUCCUCCAUUUCAGCUCCAAUAUAUAUACUUGGAAUCCUUGAAAGUGGGUCCCAAAUUUCCCCACUGGCUCUCAACACAAAGACAAAUUGAUGAUAUUAUCAUGAUAAAUACAAGUAUAUCAGAUACCAUCCCAACAGAUUGGUUCGCAAGUCUCUUAUCUCAGGCCGACCUUGUUUAUCUAUCUGAUAAUGACAUAAAUGUGGAACAACUAUCAUCCAUUUCUGCAGUUCCAAAUGGUAUGAUUGCAUUAGCACUCUCGAAUACCCGUUUGUCCGGCGGAUUUCCAUUAUUUUUAUGCAAUAUAACAUCCUUGCAGAUUUUAGUUCUCUCCAACAAUUACUUUACCGGAGAGCUGCCGCAGUGCUUAGCAAACUUGACAGAACUGCAGGGUCUUGAUGUGAUGAAUAACAGUUUCUCCGGUAACAUUCAUGCUUCUUUGGGCUCUCUACGGAAUCUCACUUACUUAAAUUUGCACGACAACAAAUUUCAAGGGAAACUCCCUUUAUCCUUCCGAAAUUUAACAAAGCUGGUAAUACUUGAUGUGGGAAAGAAUAAUUUGUGUGACGUUCUCCCCCCUUGGACUGUAGAGCAAUUACCGAGUCUCCGGAUUUUUAUACUCCGGAACAACAAAUUCUACGGUAAAAUUUCUACGAAUUUUUGCCACCAUCCAUCAAUUCAAAUUUUAAACUUUGCAGAAAAUCAGAUUGUGGGAAAUAUUCCACUUUGUUUUGGCAAUUUUAGUGCAAUGAUUACAGUAAACCAGAGUGAUGACUUUCAUCAAAGUUUUGUUCGUUCAUAUAUGAUGAUAAUAGACAAUCCGAAAGGACUUGAGCUAGAAUACACCUCUAAUCUAAAGUAUCAAUGCUACAUUGAUUUGUCAAACAACAAAAUUGUUGGAGAGAUUCCAGGAGAGUUGAUGGAUCUCCGUGCUUUAAAGAGUUUGAAUUUAGCGGGUAAUUAUCUCUCCGGAAGGAUUCCUGAGAGCAUUGGGAUGCUGGAAAGUCUGGAAUUUCUUGAUCUCUCUAGUAAUAAACUUUUUGGACAUAUUCCACAGAGUUUAUCCAAUAUAGACUCUUUAAGCCACUUAAACCUCUCUUUCAACGAUUUAUCAGGGAGGGUACCCACUGGAAACCAUCUCCAGACUCUCUAUGAUGCCUCCAUCAAUGCCGGCAACAACCAGCUCUGUGGCCCACCUAUCUUAAAGCCCUGCGUCGGUGAUACAGAAUCACCAAAUGUUCCCGACGAUGAUGAAGGUAAUUCAGAUUUAGAUGAAGAGCAUGUUUGGUUUUAUGCUGGGAUAGGACCUGGUCUCUUGGUUGGUUUUUUGGGCUUCUGCGCUUGUUUGCAUUACAUCAAGUCUUGGAGGCAUUCUUACUUUCACUUGAUUGAUCGAGUCUUCGACAAGAUAGUGGUUGCCUUUGCUUUAUGGAGGAGAAAGUUUCAAAACUAACAGGUGAACUCUUUUAUCUACCUCCCACUCACACAAUACACACAAUGAAACUCUUAAUUAAUUCCUUCAGUGAAAUCCUAAUAUUACUUUUAUCCAUAACUCAGUGAGUUUCUAAUAUUGGUAUAUUUUCUUCAGUGGAUUCCUGUACUGCAGUGGAGGAGGAGGAUGUUGUUGAAAAUUAUUUCUAGCAAAUUAUUUGUAUACUUUUAUGUCCCUAUGUUCUGUUUCUUAUGAAUAUCACCUACAAGACAAGAUAAUACAAUUUAUAAGGGUUGUAUAUCCCAUUCUGUUGCAUACAUAUAACAUACUUGCUGUUAAUAUUUCAUAAUUUUUUUUACCUGUGGAUGAUUACUUGUGCAAUGUUGUUUCGAGAAGUUUCGGGAAAGCAAGUGUUUUUAUUAAUUCAUUGGAGACAGAAGAAGGCGCUGCCAGCAAUACUGGUAUGUCAAAAAUUAGAUAACUGCAUUGAUGUAAUCCAACUUUUAAGUUUUAGCAUUUUAUACAGAAUUCUGUCUGCCCCUUAAGCUCGUACUAUAUAUUUUAGUAAAUGGCCCUAGAGUGCAUAUUUCACUCAUGGAAACUACUAGCCUUUUCACUUUCUCUGCAGUUGCAUAUCCUCAACUAGUGUACAUUAAUUAAGCAACGUACAUCUUUAUCUGGUGUUUGACUCAACACGCUGAUUGCUCCAUGCAAUGAGUAAGUUGUGUUCCAAGCAUUUAUCUCUUGUGACUUGUGCAGUUGCAUAUCCUGAGCUAAUUCUGUAUUUGAUGGUAUACAUCUAAUUUACGAGGAUAAAAUCUCUGGAUAAUCUAGACGUGGGUGUUGCUGUUUUGAAAACGCUUACUAAGGACUGGAGCAAUUAUCUGUCAAACAAUCUUCACUCGAGGGUUUGGGGGAAGCACUCAAGAGUUUCAGACAAAAGGUAGUGCCUCUCUUCACAUGUCUUAGAAAAUAGCAUGUGGUGGUGCACAGUUUGAUCAUUUAAUAGCAACCUUGGAUAUAUAGUGUCGCAGCUUGCUGCAUUACUAGAAAAUUAAUCCUCUUAUGUCAUGUAUUGUUUUUGGCAGAACGAGAAAGCUUUAGCAGAUGGAAUAGCACAUGCUCAGCAAACAUUCAUCAAGAGUGCAGAUAAGUAUUUCAAGUGGCUACUCGGAAGUGUCUCACGUGGGCAGGGAUGCAUGAAAGGUUUUUCAUUCAUUGUCAUAGCACUUGGCGUUGGUGCUGCUGUUUUCUCCCCAAACUUGGACUCAUUCGAUUGGAAAGAUAGGGCUCAGUGGAUUCAGAAUGGUCAUCAAGUUGUAUUUCCAGUUUAAAAUGUAGAUUAUUAUGUAUAGAAGACAGGGUAUAUCAGAUACCAUCCCAACAGAUUGGUUUUCAAAUCUCUUAUCUCAUGCCUACCUUGUUUAUCUAUCUGAUAAUGACAUAAAUGUGGAACAACUAUCAUCCAUUUCUGCAGUUCCAAAUGGUUUGCAAACAUUAGCACUCUCGAAUACCCGUUUGUCCGGCGGAUUUCCAUUAUUUUUAUGCAAUAUAACAUCCUUGCGGACUUUAGUUCUCUCCAACAAUUACUUUACCGGAGAGCUACCCCAGUGCUUAGCAAACUUGACACAACUGCGGGAUCUUGAUGUGAUGAAUAACAAUUUCUCCGGUACCAUUCAUGCUUCUUUGGGUUCUUUAAGACAUCUCGAAUACUUAAAUUUCCAUGACAACAACUUUCAAAGGAAACUCCCUUUGUCCUUCCAAAAUUUAACAGAGCUAGUCAUACUUGAUGUGGGAAAGAACAAUCUGUCUGACGUUCUUCCCUCCUGGACUGUAGAGCAAUUACCAGGGCUCCGAAUUUUAAUACUCCGGUCCAAUAAAUUCUAUGGUAAAAUUCCUACAAAUCUUUGCCACGAUCCAGCAAUCCAAGUUUUGAACUUUGCACACAAUCAGAUUGUAGGAAAUAUUCCUCCUUGUUUUGGCAAUUUUAGUACCAUGAUUACAGUAAACAAGAGUGAUGACUUUUAUCCAUAUUUUCCUUGGAGAUGGGCAUACAGUAAGAUGAUAAUAGACGAUGCGAAGGGACAUGAGCUGAAUUACACCUCUGGUCUAGAGUUGUUACAUUCCAUUGAUUUGUCAAACAACAACAUUGAUGGAGAGAUCCCGGAAGAGUUGAUGGAUCUCCGUGGUUUGACAAGUUUAAAAUUGGCUGGUAAUCAUCUAGCAGGAAGGAUCCCCGAGAGGAUUGGGAAUCUGGAAAGACUGGAAUUUCUCGAUCUCUCUGGAAAUAAACUUUUUGGACAUAUUCCACAAAGUUUAUCGAAUCUGGACUUUUUAAGCCACUUAAACCUCUCUUUCAACAAUUUAUCAGGGAGGCUACCCACUGGAAACCACAUCCAGACCCUCUAUGAUCUCUCCAUCAAUGAUGGCAACAACCAGCUCUGUGGCCAACCUAUCUUAGAACCCUGCGUCGGUGACACAGGAUCACCAGAUGUUCCCGAUGACGAUGAAUGUAAUUCAGAUUCAGAUGAAGAGCAUGUAUGGUUUUAUGCUGGGAUAGGACCUGGUCUCUUGGUUGGUUUUUUGGGCUUCUGCGCAUGUUUGCAUUACAUCAAGUCUUGGAGGUAUUCUUACUUUCACUUGAUUGAUCGAGUCUUCGACAAGAUAGUGGUUGCCUUUGCUUUAUGGAAGAGAAAGUUCCAAA